rnacentral:lncRNA from 1 species
UGUAUGGAAAUCCAGCUGAGCAAUGGCGGUCACUUUCACAAAGGUGCUGUCAGUGAGAGUGAAGAUGAACAGGGCAGUUCUAGAACUGCUUUGUGUCAUAAUAGGUAGGAUCUGGUGAGUGUUUGCACCUGACGGUGACAGAGAAGGAAGGAUACAUCAUUGUGGAUACCCUCUUGCUAACAGAUGAAUUCAGGUCCAUUCACACUCAUCCCUUUAAUGAGUGAAGAACGUGGAUGGGCAUGUGGAUGGGCACAAUAUUGGAGGAGGAGCUUUGGGAGGAAAAAAUGUGUUCAGUUCUGGAUAUCUGACUGCGAGGCACCAGUGGGACCACAUAGUAGGUAGCAAGAUAUGUUAAUAUGCAGCUCAGUUGGGAGAUCUGAGCUGAAGAUUGUAUCCAGGGAGACUGAGCGGUAAUGAUAAUCGAAAACACAGGACCAGGUAAAAAUGAACCAUGAAAAGAGCACAAGGGAUAAAAUAUCAAAGAGAGAAGAUGUCAUGCGACUCAAAAGAAUGUAUAAUAUCAAAAGAGAAAGCUCAAAUUCAAAGUAGAUGCCAGGAGAAUCACAGACUCCUGUGGCGAAAUACUGACUUCUCAUCUCUUGGUCUUGGAGCCUCCUGAAGAGACUGCAUUUUCUCCCACCUGCCAACAACCUCCCAAUGGCUUUGGAUUUCAUGACUCAUUCAUAUAAAUUUAUCUUUUUCUUUUUGUAGCUUGAUUAGGGUCCUUUAUGAUCAAUUUAUUUUUCUUUUCUAAAAUGUGAUCAUUUUGGGGGCACCUGGGUGGCUCAGUCUCGUGCAGCUGAGACUCUGAAGAGAGUCGCUGAAAGCGUCUGCCUUCAGCUUAGGUCAUGAUAAAGAGCCCUGGGAUUGAGUCCCAUAUCGGGUUCCCUGCUCAGCAGGGAGUCUGCUUCUCCCUCUCCCUUGUUGCUCCCCCUGUUUGUGCUCUCUUUCUGUCAAAAAAAUAAAUUCUUUAAAAAAUAUGUGAUCUUUUUGAGG